AUUGAACGCUGGCGGCAGGCCUAACACAUGCAAGUCGAGCGGAUGAAGGGAGCUUGCUCCUGGAUUCAGCGGCGGACGGGUGAGUAAUGCCUAGGAAUCUGCCUGGUAGUGGGGGAUAACGUCUGGAAACGGCCGCUAAUACCGCAGACGUCCUGAGGGAGAAGGAGGGGGAUCUUCGGACCUCACGCUAUCAGAUGAGCCUAGGCCGGAUUAGCUAGUUGGUGGGGUAAAGGCCUACCAAGGCGACGAUCCGUAACUGGUCGGAGAGGAUGAUCAGUCACACUGGAACUGAGACACGGUCCAGACUCCUACGGGAGGCAGCAGUGGGGAAUAUUGGACAAUGGGCGAAAGCCUGAUCCAGCCAUGCCGCGUGUGUGAAGAAGGUCUUCGGAUUGUAAAGCACUUUAAGUUGGGAGGAAGGGCAGUAAGUUAAUACCUUGCUGUUUUGACGUUACCAACAGAAUAAGCACCGGCUAACUUCGUG
rnacentral:rRNA from 1 species